CAUCGUUGACAACGCCAUGACCAAGAAGCCGCAGGUGGUGCAGAUCGACCCGAGCGACAAGGCAUUCAAGACGGACGGCUGCCAACCGUGGCAGAAGACUGACACGCCUGCUCCCGCCAGUCCCUCGCCGUCGGAUGCACAAAAGCAGCUCCAGACUCUGAUCGGCGGCCUGAACGGCGCUGUCGGUCAGUCCGGUGCCGG
rnacentral:ncRNA from 1 species